rnacentral:rRNA from 1 species
GUGCAGCAGUCGCGAAAACUUCACAAUGGGAGCAAUCCCGAUGAGGGAAUUCCAAGUGCCCACACACUGUGUUGGCUGUUCUCCUGUCUAAAAAGCAGGAGAAGUAAGGGCCGGGUAAGACGGGUGCCAGCCGCCGCGGUAAUACCCGCGGCCCGAGUGGUGGUCGAUAUUAUUGAGCCUAAAACGUCCGUAGCCGGUCUCGUAAAUCCCUGGGUAAAUCGGCCAGCUUAACUGUCCGAAUUCCGGGGAGACUGCGGGACUUGGGACCGGGAGAGGUCAGAGGUACUUCCGGGGUAGGGGUAAAAUCCUGUAAUCCUGGAAGGACCACCGGUGGCGAAGGCGUCUGACUAGAACGGAUCCGACGGUGAGGGGCGAAAGCUGGGGGAGCGAACCGGAUUAGAUACCCGGGUAGUCC